rnacentral:misc_RNA from 1 species
UGGCUCUGGCAUCGAUGAAGAACGCAGCGAAAUGCGAUAAGUAAUGUGAAUUGCAGAAUUCAGUGAAUCAUCGAAUCUUUGAACGCACAUUGCGCCCGCCAGUAUUCUGGCGGGCAUGCCUGUCCGAGCGUCAUUUCAACCCCUCGAGCCCCUGCGGGUUCGGUGUUGGGGGCCUGCGAGCGCGAGCCCGUAGCCCCCUAAAUCCAUCGGCGGAUCCUGUCAGUGGACGGCCCUUGCGCAGUAGUUUUCUCCUCGCACAGGCGCCGCUCGGGCAUCCUGCCGCUAAAACCUAAGCCGCCUCCCAGCGAUGGGUAGCGCACUGGAAGUUGACCUCGGAUCAGGUAGGAAUACCCGCUGA